UACGUAGGGUGCAAGCGUUGUCCGGAAUUAUUGGGCGUAAAGAGCUCGUGGGCGGUCUGUCGCGUCUGCUGUGAAAACUCAGGGCUUAACCCUGAGCUUGCAGUGGGUACGGGCAGACUAGAGUGCGGUAGGGGAGACUGGAAUUCCUGGUGUAGCGGUGGAAUGCGCAGAUACCAGGAGGAACACCGGUGGCGAAGGCGGGAUCCUGGGCCAGUACUGACGCUGAGGAGCGAAAGCGUGGGGAGCAAACAGG
rnacentral:rRNA from 1 species